rnacentral:rRNA from 1 species
GACGAACGCUGGCGGCGUGCUUAACACAUGCAAGUCGAACGGAAAGGCCCUUCGGGGUGCUCGAGUGGCGCACGGGUGAGUAACACGUGGGUGAUCUGCCCUGCACUUUGGGAUAAGCCUGGGAAACUGGGUCUAAUACCGAAUAGGACCACGCGCUUCAUGGUGUGUGGUGGCAAGCUUUUGCGGUGUGGGAUGGGCCCGCGGCCUAUCAGCUUGUUGGUGGGGUUAUGGCGUACCAAGGCGACGACGGGUAGCCGGCCUGAGAGGGUGACCGGCCACACUGGGACUGAGAUACGGCCCAGACUCCUACGGGAGGCAGCGGUGGGGAAUAUUGCACAAUGGGCGCAAGCCUGAUGCAGCGACGCCGCGUGAGGGAUGACGGCCUUCGGGUUGUAAACCUCUUUCAAUAGGGACGAAGCGCAAGUGACGGUACCUAUAGAAGAAGCACCGGCCAACUACGUG